CUGUUAUGAAUAAUCGUCAACCGGAACCACAUAUGACCUUCUGUAAAUCCAUCGGACAAUAUAAAUAGACGGACAUCCCCUCUAGGGAAAGGAGUCUUUAGAGCGAAUUAGUAUAGCGAAGAAUAUAGCGAGCAGCAUAGCGAGUCAUACGGUAGAAUCAACAGGAGUCAAAGAAGUAUUUAGUUGAUGGCUAUCAAUUGCUGAAGUACGAACCAAAAGUUCUACCGGAAGGAAAAAUAGCUCAACAUGCAGAACAAAAUUUACACGAAAUAAAUAAGCUCUUAAAACGAUUCAAUGUAACAUAAACUUUAUCAGUACGUAGUUUGCUAAGUAAGUUCUACGUUUGGGAGUAAAUAUUAAACGAAAAACAAAACUGUAUAUAUACAUAGCCUUCGUAGGCAACAAACAUAUCGAAAUAAAAUUGUUAAAAAAAUUUUAAUAAGUAUAAUUACAAGCGGUAGUUAUCAUGUAUUAGCAUUCUUUGAUUGAGGGGUUCAUUUUUAGCACAUGUUAGAAAAAUUAACACAUGAAUCAAUGAUAUAAUUUAUAUUAACGUUCUCUUAAUUUGGUAAGUAAUUUUAGAAACUUCUAACGAAUCAACAAUCUUAGUUCUUCUGAAAGGGAUACGACGAUAGAAUAAAUUCUCCACAUGCUUUAUAUAUAUUUUGCCGGCAGCGAAAAAUACUGAAAAAAUACCGAAUGUACAACAGAGAGGGAUAUAGUAGGGGUACAAUACAGUACAGGGCGGAAACGAUAGAAAAAGAUUAAAAGUUUAUGUAUCAGGGAAUAUUACCGUUGCAACGACAAACCUUCUUUCUUUUCGGUUCCUUGUGAAAAAAGAUUUUGCUACUGACGAACCUUUUUUGAAUAAAGUGAGAUCGAACAUGA